rnacentral:rRNA from 1 species
UGGACUGACACUGACACUGAGGUGCGAAAGCGUGGGUAGCAAACAGUUAUUAGAUACCCUGGUAGUCCACGCCGUAAACGAUGUCGACCAGCCGUUGGGUGCCUAGCGCACUUUGUGGCGAAGUUAACGCGAUAAGUCGACCGCCUGGGGAGUACGGCCGCAAGGUUAAAACUCAAAUGAAUUGACGGGGGCCCGCACAAGCGGUGGAGCAUGUGGUUUAAUUCGAUGCAACGCGAAGAACCUUACCUACUCUUGACAUCCUGCGAACUUGUGAGAGAUCACUUGGUGCCUUCGGGAACGCAGAGACAGGUGCUGCAUGGCUGUCGUCAGCUCGUGUUGUGAAAUGUUGGGUUAAGUCCCGUAACGAGCGCAACCCUUGUCCUUAUUUGCCAGCGCGUAAUGGCGGGAACUCUAAGGAGACUGCCGGUGACAAACCGGAGGAAGGUGGGGACGACGUCAAGUCAUCAUGGCCCUUACGAGUAGGGCUACACACGUGCUACAAUGGUCGGUACAAAGGGUUGCCAACUCGCGAGAGUGAGCCAAUCCCGAAAAGCCGAUCUCAGUCCGGAUCGGAGUCUGCAACUCGACUCCGUGAAGUCGGAAUCGCUAGUAAUCGUGGAUCAGAAUGCCACGGUGAAUACGUUCCCGGGCCUUGUACACACCGCCCGUCACACCAUGGGAGUGGACUGCACCAGAAGUGGGUUAGCCUAACGCA